AUAUGUCCUCUACUCGUCUGACACUUACUCCGAGUUCACCUGAUCUUUAGAAAAAUCAUGGUAAAAUUUAAUGAGCUCCAAUGGCUCAGUAAGUCUUCCUAUUAUUCUAAUACCUUAGUCUGGCAUCAUGCAAUGCCCACAUACAUGUAAUAAAUGCAAUAUAAAGAUCUCCAAAUCAAUAUUCUUUAUAAUUUUUUCACAGUGCUUUGAACUUUACAAUCUUUAAUUUUAAUAAUUCACUCAUCCUUAAUAAUUAAUUUUCAUCUCAUAACUUCACACAUUUUCACUCAAAUAUCAUAAUUAGACUCGAAUAUCACUUACAUACUCAGAUAUCACACUUACUCUCGAAUAUCACAUGUAUACUCAUAUUACAUUUACACUCGAAAUAUCACAUCUAAAGUUUCAUUGUAUGAUACUGUUUAUAUUUUCAUCAAGGAGAGAGGAGGAUCCCACUAUUACAUGGAUAACACACGCACAUCUCACAUUGACCAAACUAGGUACAUUAUGUAGGUGACCCGAACACAAUAUACCUAUUCACGUAUGGACUAGGUUUCUUAUUUUUAUCCAUGUGCAGGUUCACAAUAAUACCCACUGAAUUUCAGCCACCUACAUAUACUAUCCUCUUUGAUUCCGACUAAAUGAGUAAGGUUCUUAAGGUCCUUAUACUCUACACUCAUGCCAAAUUCCUUCACUUUCAACUCACUUCUUUAAUUAAAUUUGCUUUAUUCAUACUUAAUUUAUUAUUUCCUCAAUAUUAUUCUUUUUGUUUAUUUGUUCUUUAUAAUUAAAUCCACUUUUCUAAUCCUUUUUCCCUAUUUAUAGUAAUCACUAUUAAUUUUAUUUUCUUUAUUGUUUUUACUUAAUUUUUAAUUGAUAAAUUUUUUUUCUCUCUCUGUAACUCCAUUAGCCAAUUUUUUUUUUUAAUUUUAUUAAUUUUAUUUUACGUUAAAUUGUUCUUAUCACAAUUCUUAAAUUUCCAAUUCCUUCCCAUGCACGAUCACACAACAAUUAUUCAAUUACACAAUUACCAAGGAAACAAGAAUACAAGCAUGCAACCAUCACUGAUCAAAUGUCUUGAACUCCAUCUUGGCAGUUCACUUUGCCUGGACAGUAUCCAGGUUCUAUUCUUCUCAGUUCUCUGCACUUGUUCUAACGUCAAGCUAACUAAUUAAAGAAAAUCACAUAUAGAAAUUUAAAUCCCAAACCCAGGCAUAUAAUGAAUGAUAUACUUUCAAAUAUUUCCUCAUGAAUUCAAGCUUCUGCAAAGGUCCUAUAAACACAAAAAUUUCUUUCACGCAAGCAUGAUUAAGAUUUAUUUGUAAACAUACCUAAUGAACCUUAAAUUAGAACCUAAAAGUAUUAAAUCACUUAUGUUUUACAGGUUUUGAAACCUUACUGUGAAAACUCGGAUACUAGUGCUCGAUGGAUUACCGUUCGACUCAUCACGUUGGUGUGAGUGCCUUGGCUUCUGGAACCUGUGCGCACACAUUAAUACACACUCCCACAAAAAAUUGAUGACGAAAGAGGAGAGAGGAAUCACUUAGUUUGAGACUCUGUGUCAUAAAGACUCGAAACAACCUCGGGUUCAAAUAUUCCCCUUCUUCCUUCCUUUUUCUUCUUCGGUUGCUCCUCUUCUUUCUUUCUCUUUCUCUCUUCUUCCUUCUCUCAAUCACCGACGCUCCUCCUCUCUCUCUUCUCAAACUCUACUGUCUCUCUCUUUUGAAUGAGAGGAACCCCGAUUAGGGUUUUGUUUUUAUGUUAUUCGCCAUUGCUA
rnacentral:lncRNA from 1 species